rnacentral:rRNA from 1 species
GACGAACGCUGGCGGCGUGCCUAAUACAUGCAAGUCGAACGAGAGCGACCAGUGCUUGCACUGGUCAAUCUAGUGGCGAACGGGUGAGUAACACGUGGGUAACCUGCCCAUCAGAGGGGGAUAACAUCCGGAAACGGAUGCUAAAACCGCACAGGUCUUCGAACCGCAUGGUUCGAAGAGGAAAAGAGGCGCAAGCUUCUGUUGAUGGAUGGACCCGCGGUGCAUUAGCUAGUUGGUGAGGUAACGGCUCACCAAGGCCGUGAUGCAUAGCCGACCUGAGAGGGUGAUCGGCCACAUUGGGACUGAGACACGGCCCAAACUCCUACGGGAGGCAGCAGUAGGGAAUCUUCCGCAAUGGACGCAAGUCUGACGGAGCAACGCCGCGUGAGUGAAGAAGGUUUUCGGAUCGUAAAGCUCUGUUGUUAGGGAAGAACAAGUGCUAGAGUAACUGUUAGCGCCUUGACGGUAUCUAACGAGAAAGCCACGGCUAACUACGUG